rnacentral:tRNA from 1 species
GGAAGUAGUUCAGUGGUAGAACAUCACCUUGCCAAGGUGGGGGUCGCGGGUUCGAACCCCGUCUUCCGCU